UACAGAGGUCUCAAGCGUUGUUCGGAUUCAUUGGGCGUAAAGGGUGCGUAGGUGGCGGGGUAAGUCAGGUGUGAAAUUUCGGAGCUUAACUCCGAAACUGCAUUUGAUACUGCCGUGCUUGAGGACUGGAGAGGAGACUGGAAUUUACGGUGUAGCGGUGAAAUGCGUAGAUAUCGUAAGGAAGACCAGUGGCGAAGGCGGGUCUCUGGACAGUUCCUGACGCUGAGGCACGAAGGUCAGGGGAGCAAACGGG
rnacentral:rRNA from 1 species